UAGGGAAUCUUCCGCAAUGGGCGAAAGCCUGACGGAGCAACGCCGCGUGAGUGAUGAAGGUCUUCGGAUCGUAAAACUCUGUUAUUAGGGAAGAACAAAUGCGUAAGUAACUAUGCACGUCUUGACGGUACCUAAUCAGAAAGCCACGGCUAACUACGUGCCAGCAGCCGCGGUAAUACGUAGGUGGCAAGCGUUAUCCGGAAUUAUUGGGCGUAAAGCGCGCGUAGGCGGUUUUUUAAGUCUGAUGUGAAAGCCCACGGCUCAACCGUGGAGGGUCAUUGGACACUGGAAAACUUGAGUGCAGAAGAGGAAAGUGAAAUUCCAUGUGUAGCGGUAAAAUGCGCAUAGAUAAGGAGGAACACCAGUGGCGAAGGCGACUUUAUGGUCUGUAACUGAAGCUGAUGUGCGAAAGCGUGGGGAUCAAACAGG
rnacentral:rRNA from 1 species